CGUACGGGAGAGUAACACGUAAGUAAUCUACCCUCGGGUGGGGAAUAACUUAAGGAAACUUAAGCUAAUACCGCAUAAUGCAGCGGCUCCAUAUGGAGACAGUUGUUAAAGCAUUUAUGCGCCUGGGGAGGAGCUUGCGGCAGAUUAGCUAGUUGGUAAGGUAAUGGCUUACCAAGGCAACGAUCUGUAGCCGGUCUAAGAGGACGGUCGGUCUCACUGACACUGAAUAACGGGUCAG
rnacentral:rRNA from 1 species